AGUUUGAUUAUGGCUCAGGAUGAACGCUAGCUACAGGCUUAACACAUGCAAGUCGAGGGGCAUCAGGAUCUGUGCUUGCACAGAUGCUGGCGACCGGCGCACGGGUGAGUAACGCGUAUCCAACCUUCCCCUUAGUAGAGGAUAGCCCGGCGAAAGUCGGAUUAAUACUCUAUGUUGUUCAAUGCGGACAUCUAAGUUGAACCAAAGGUUUACCGCUAAGGGAUGGGGAUGCGUCUGAUUAGGUAGUAGGCGGGGUAACGGCCCACCUAGCCAACGAUCAGUAGGGGUUCUGAGAGGAAGGUCCCCCACAUUGGAACUGAGACACGGUCCAAACUCCUACGGGAGGCAGCAGUGAGGAAUAUUGGUCAAUGGGCGCGAGCCUGAACCAGCCAAGUAGCGUGCAGGAAUGACGGCCCUAUGGGUUGUAAACUGCUUUUAUGCGGGGAUAAAGUGCACCACAUGUGGUGUUUUGUAGGUACCGCAUGAACAAGGACCGGCUAAUUCCGUGCCAGCAGCUGC
rnacentral:rRNA from 1 species